rnacentral:rRNA from 1 species
UACGAAGGACCCGAGCGUUAUCCGGAUUUAUUGGGUUUAAAGGGUGCGUAGGCGGAUUGAUAAGUCAGUGGUGAAAGCCCGUCGCUUAACGGCGGAACUGCCAUUGAUACUGUCAGUCUUGAGUAUGGUUGAGGUGGGCGGAAUGUGUCAUGUAGCGGUGAAAUGCUUAGAUAUGACACAGAACACCAAUUGCGAAGGCAGCUCGCUAAACCAUAACUGACGCUGAUGCACGAAAGCGUGGGGAGCAAACAGG